AUCAUCAUAACAUUUGAUAAAUCCUGUUGGACUUUGAGGUAGAAUAAUGUUUUAUUUACUCAAGCCAGAAUUUACUGAGGAACUUGUGCAGUUGGACGCUGAGCAACACGGAGGGAGGAUGAAUCAGCGGCGCCUGUAACCGAGCUACCAGGAGCGGUGGUGAGAGCCAGGUCUGAGGGGGAGUGGUGGUGCAACUGCGGGGCAUGUCAACCCAUGGCAACCAACGAUGAGUGUUUGUGCUGCGCAGAGUGGGACUUGUUACUGCCAUCAAUUGCGGGGCUACAGCAAAGAAAGCAGUACAACCAGAGAUUGUGUAACAAACCCCUUAGACUUUUUUGCGCUCAUCAAUCCUGGAGUUAUAGAGACUGCUCCAUGUCCCAAAAAUAAAAUGGAAGAAGCAGCUCAUACCUGCUGGACCGAAUGGACAGCUGUCUAUCAAUCAAUACAGGCUGGUUGCAUAUCGACUGGUGUUGGAGUGGGCACUGAAGGGAGAGAGACUGGGACGAGGGAAAAGAAGAGUCUUGCCUUCAUGUGUAGUUUGUGUAAUUGUCGCAAAUAUCCCUCACUGACAGGAGUCUACAUGGGAAUCAAGGAGGCAGAGGAUAUAAUGGGUCUGUUGUAAUUAUACUCCUAUGAUUCAGCUUCACAGCCAGACAUUGCCUAACCAAUUUUGUCAAAUCACUCUAAUAAAUGCUGUUUGAACCAG